UGGAGAGGUAGUUACAGGUGUCAUAGGACAGCGGAUGCCUCGAUACUGUCUUUUUGGGAAUACUGUCAACCUCACAAGCCGAACAGAAACCACAGGAGAAAAGGGAAAAAUAAAUGUGUCUGAAUAUACAUACAGAUGUCUUAUGUCUCCAGAAAAUUCAGAUCCACAAUUCCACUUGGAGCACAGAGGCCCAGUGUCCAUGAAGGGCAAAAAAGAACCAAUGCAAGUUUGGUUUCUAUCCAGAAAAAAUACAGGAACAGAGGAAACAAAGCAGGAUGAUGACUGAAUCUUGGAUUAUGGGGUGAAGAGGAGUACAGACUAGGUUCCAGUUUUCUCCUAACACGUGCCAAGCCCAGGAGCAGUUCUUCCCUAUGGAUACAGAUUUUCUUUUGUCCUUGUCCAUUACCCCAAGACUUUCUUCUAGAUAUAUCUCUCACUAUCCGUUAUUCAACCUUAGCUCUGCUUUCUAUUACUUUUUAGGCUUUAGUAUAUUAUCUAAAGUUUGGCUUUUGAUGUGGAUGAUGUGAGCUUCAUGUGUCUUAAAAUCUACUACAAGCAUUACCUAACAUGGUGAUCUGCAAGUAGUAGGCACCCAAUAAAUAUUUGUUGAAUUUAGUUAAAUGAAACUGAACAGUGUUUGGCCAUGUGUAUAUUUAUAUCAUGUUUACCAAAUCUGUUUAGUGUUCCACAUAUAUGUAUAUGUAUAUUUUAAUGACUAUAAUGUAAUAAAGUUUAUAUCAUGUUGGUGUAUAUCAUUAUAGAAAUCAUUUUCUAAAGGAGUGAAUUCUAAGUUUUAGGGGAAAAAAUGCAAUUUAUUUUCAGACUCCCAAAGUAAGAAUUAACAUAUCAUGCUAAGAAAAUAGUGACUAUUUUGAAGUAUGCUACUUCCCUUUCAGAAAUAUAGAAUACACGUUUCUGUUAUUAAAGUAUUUGAUUACUAAUUCAAAUCAUAUGGCAAUUAUAAUUCUUCUAAAAUGCUAUCAUUUGUAACUGUAUCCCCUGUAUUAAAUCUCAUUAACCACAGGCAGCUGUUACAGAAAGCUGCAUUGUUUCACAUUGAGCUGUUACAUUAGUUCAGGCUAAAUGUUGGGAGCUCCAACCACAUCCAAGAAUAAAUCUGGAAACACACUGCUGGGAUACUGCUGUUAGAGCCCUUCUUGGCCUUGUAUUCCCAGAAAUGAGCUCCCUUUCCUUAGCUUAGAAGAAUGUGAUUAUAUCCAGGACAUCAUGUUCAGAAAACUUAGUUUACUUUCAGCAUAGAAUGCAUUACUGUUGGAAUAAUUGGCCUCUAGCUCUUAAAUGUCUCUGAUAACUUAUUAAUAUCUAUCUUUAUAAAAUAGAGUGCAACUACUUUUGUGUAAAAAUGUUUGCCUUUAAAUUUAGUAUUUCAUAUCAGCACAUCGAUAUAUGUAUAAAUGUUCCAUGUUAAUGUGUAAAAGAGUCUGUAAUAAAUUAUUUUUUUCACGUGUCUCU
rnacentral:lncRNA from 1 species